CCAGACUUGCUCUAGGAAAGCCAGUGUUCUGUGGAGUUUAGCUCUAACUCACCUGCCUGGAACUUCUAACUAAUGAAAUUGAAGUAUCCAAAUGAAGACCCUAGAAGUAUGGAGUAUAUGGAUACAGACGUUGCCAGCAAUCAGGAGGUGAUCCAGAAGACUCGUGGGAAUCUAUUUGAAGCUGCAGUCAUUGAAGACAGUCCAGCAGAAGUUGGAGUUUUAAAGGAUAAAGUUCUUCAGGACCUAGCAGUUUACAGUCUGCAAAACCAUGUUGCUGGGACUGAUAUAUGGACUGAACUUGAGCAACCCUCCUGAACUCAGGUACACAUUUGGAAUACUGAAGAAGUAAUUUCUGGAGCCAGUUCCUGUUCCUGGAAUAAUGUUUGAUUGGUUACCCAUGAAUGCCAAUUAGAAAAUGAGUAGUUUGAUAUUUCUGCUAUUUUGUGUAAUUUUGUAAUGUGGUUUCAACUGUAUUUAACUGUGUGUAAUUAUUUAUUGCUUGUUUAACAAAUACACUUUGAUCAUUUGUGACAUCUUGUCUUUUGACUCAUUACAAGACAAAUCACACAAAAAAUGCUUUGUUGAAGGGAGUAACUUUAAAUAGAAAAUAUUUAAAGUAACUAAAACUAAUUGUGUGGAACCACUGUCCAUAAUUUAAAUGAGUAAUUUGA